AGCUCCAAUAGCGUAUAUUAAAGUUGCUGCAGUUAAAAAGCUCGUAGUUGGAUCUCGGGUAACGAUCGUUCGGUCCUGUCUCGCACAGGUUACUGUUCGACUCGUCCCAACGGGUGGUAGACCUCCCAUGCCUUUGUUGUGUGCGGGGGUCGUCGCUCUGCUCGGUGCCCUUAAUUGGGUGCCCAGGGUGGCCACUCCGUUUACCUUGAAAAAAUUAGAGUGUUCAAGGCAGGUUUCGAGGCUCGAAUAUUUGGUGCAUGGAAUAAUGGAACAUGACUGCGGUCACCGUUCUGUUGGUCUCAGGUGUUGUGGUAAUGAUUGAGAGGGACUGCCGGGGGCAUUAGUAUGGCGGCGCGAGAGGUGAAAUUCUUGGACCGUCGCCAGACUAACAAGAGCGAAA
rnacentral:rRNA from 1 species